rnacentral:rRNA from 1 species
AGAGUUUGAUCCUGGCUCAGGACGAACGCUGGCGGCACGCUUAACACAUGCAAGUCGAACGAGAGAAGAGGAGCUUGCUUUUCUGAUCUAGUGGCGGACGGGUGAGUAACACGUGAGCAAUCUGCCUUUCAGAGGGGGAUACCGAUUGGAAACGAUCGUUAAUACCGCAUAACAUAAUUGAACCGCAUGAUUUGAUUAUCAAAGAUUUAUCGCUGAAAGAUGAGCUCGCGUCUGAUUAGCUAGUUGGUAAGGUAACGGCUUACCAAGGCGACGAUCAGUAGCCGGACUGAGAGGUUGAUCGGCCACAUUGGGACUGAGACACGGCCCAGACUCCUACGGGAGGCAGCAGUGGGGAAUAUUGCACAAUGGAGGAAACUCUGAUGCAGCGAUGCCGCGUGAGGGAAGAAGGUUUUAGGAUUGUAAACCUCUGUCUUCAGGGACGAAAAAAGACGGUACCUGGGGAGGAAGCUCCGGCUAACUACGUGCCAGCAGCCGCGGUAAUACGUAGGAGCGAGCGUUGUCCGGAAUUACUGGGUGUAAAGGGAGCGUAGGCGGGAUCGCAAGUCAGAUGUGAAAACUAUGGGCUUAACCCAUAAACUGCAUUUGAAACUGUGGUUCUUGAGUGAAGUAGAGGUAAGCGGAAUUCCUAGUGUAGCGGUGAAAUGCGUAGAUAUUAGGAGGAACAUCAGUGGCGAAGGCGGCUUACUGGGCUUUAACUGACGCUGAGGCUCGAAAGCGUGGGGAGCAAACAGGAUUAGAUACCCUGGUAGUCCACGCCGUAAACGAUGAUUACUAGGUGUGGGGGGACUGACCCCUUCCGUGCCGCAGCAAACGCAAUAAGUAAUCCACCUGGGGAGUACGACCGCAAGGUUGAAACUCAAAGGAAUUGACGGGGGCCCGCACAAGCAGUGGAGUAUGUGGAUUAAUUCGAAGCAACGCGAAGAACCUUACCAGGUCUUGACAUCGUAUGCAUAGCUCAGAGAUGAGUGAAAUCUCUUCGGAGACAUAUAGACAGGUGGUGCAUGGUUGUCGUCAGCUCGUGUCGUGAGAUGUUGGGUUAAGUCCCGCAACGAGCGCGACCCUUACUGUUAGUUGCUACGCAAGAGCACUCUAGCAGGACUGCCGUUGACAAAACGGAGGAAGGUGGGGAUGACGUCAAAUCAUCAUGCCCCUUAUGACCUGGGCCUCACACGUACUACAAUGGCUGUCAACAGAGGGAAGCAAAGCCGCGAGGUGGAGCGAACCCCUAAAAGCAGUCUUAGUUCGGAUUGUAGGCUGCAACCCGCCUACAUGAAGUCGGAAUUGCUAGUAAUCGCAGAUCAGCAUGCUGCGGUGAAUACGUUCCCGGGCCUUGUACACACCGCCCGUCACGC